rnacentral:lncRNA from 1 species
CUACCCUUCUCUGCUUUAUCGGCCCAGGCAAAGUGGGAUCCUGAACCCAACAGGAAUUUGGCCACUACAGGCAUCUCUGGAGCUAUCAGCAUGAAGCAACGGCAAACAGAUGGAGCUUCUUUUUUUUUUAUUUUUAAGCUGGGGCACAGCAUGACCAAGCCAAACAAGCCAGCUUCGUAGAAGGAAGGUAACCUUAUGUGCUAGCUUGUGGGACGCGUCCCACCGGUGAUGAGGGGGAGCUGAGGUCGAACAGGCGCACGUGCG